GUGAGCUUAGGGGCAGGCACAAGACCCACACACACACCGGUGACUCAGGGCUUAGUUAGUUAAUAACCACAUUUCUGAAGUAUAUUAAUAAUAAUAUUCAAGCAAUAGUGACAGGAAAUGUGUGAAGUGACAAUAUUAACUCAAAGAGCUAGCAUCCCUGAGGCUUACUCUGUGCCAGGCUGGGGGUUUCGCAUUCUUAUUUUACUCAUCACAGAAACCCUCUGGAACAUGCACUCUGUGGUUACCAUCUUAUAGAUGAGGAUCGGGGUGAGAGAAGAUUAAUACAUUCCCCACAGUCUAGAUCAUCAGGAGAACCAACAAAUCUUGGGCAAGGACCCAGGAAGCAGAAGCAGAAGCAGCACAGAGCCGGUCUGCUUUUUUGUAGUUGUUGUUUUUGUUUUUUUCUUUUUGAGACAGGGUCUUGCUCUGUUGCCCACAUUGGAGUGCAAUGAUGCGAUCAUACCUCAAUGCAACCUCUGCCUCCUGACUCAAGCGAUCCUCCCACCUCAGCCUCCUGAGUAGCUGAGACUACAGGUGCACAUCACCAUGCUCGACUAAUUUUUGUAAUUUUUGUAGAGAUGGGGUUUCAUCAUGUUUCCCAGGCUGAUCUCAAACUCCUGGACUCAAGCAAUCUGCCCCCCUUGGCAUCCUAAAGUUCUGAGAUUACAGCUUUGUUUUCCAGCAGAUACACCCUAAAACUUCUGAAGUGCACAUGGAUGACCUCUUUACUGCCUUCCCUGGUAUGGAGGCCAGAAUGACCAAAAAUCAGUGAAAGAAAGAAGAGCCAGUAGAAACAUAAGCCAUCUGCGAAUGGAAUCAGACCAAAAAAUAAAUUGAGAAUAAACUUAACAGCAUUUUAAAGAUGUUUGGAGAGAAACGAAAUGUUAGCUAAUGAUAAAAAAUUAUAUUGUGUAACAUAGACGUUGCCCCUAAUAGCAAAUGCUAUUGCUUCCAAAAAGAUACAGUGUUGCAAAAGUAGG
rnacentral:lncRNA from 1 species